GACACAGUAAUUGUACCUCAAUACCUCAAAGACAAAAGAUCAAAUCGGACCUUGGAAACUAAGAAGGGUCACCUCUGGUUAGUACUUGGAUGGGAGGCCACCAAAGAAUACCAGGUGCUGUAGGCU
rnacentral:rRNA from 11 species